GAGCCCCACAGAGAAACAGCAUCUAACCUGGUGGAGGAGGUGACAGGACUGGAGGUGGAGAUCAGGAGGGCUUCUUCAGAGUCACGUCAUUUCCUCCCUCCAGAGAGAGAAGCACAGCUCAGUCAUGUUUCUGGUCAGUUGCUGAGAUGUGUUCAGCUCUGACAUCCUCAUCCAUGAUCUCUGUUGUCAUCCCAGUCUCUGUGUUGCUACUGGGGGCUGCAGGUCUCUCUGAGGGGAGUGAUGUCACCCAGACCCGAAGCAUCCUCUGGUCUAUCAAGGGGCAGCCUGCUGAGAUGGACUGCAGUCACACCAAGGGUGUUGGGUACUACCAGAUGUACUGGUACAGACAGCUACCAGGACAGGGGAUGAAGCUGGUUGUGUACAGUGUGCCCAACAGUAAGCCUGACUAUGGAGAUGUCAGUAAGCACAAAUUCUCAAUCACCAGGACAGGAGCAGAGAGAGGAUCUUUCACAGUGAAGAACUCUUCAACAGAAGACAACGGCAUUUACUUCUGUGCUGUGAGUGAACACAGUGAUACAGACAUCAUGUGCAGCUGCACAAAAACCCCCAACUUCUCAUGA